rnacentral:rRNA from 1 species
CAAUAGCGUAUAUUAAAGUUGUUGCGGUUAAAAAGCUCGUAGUUGGAUCUCGGCAGGCAGGGGGUGGUUCGCUCUUAGCGCUACUGCCCCAUUUGCCUGUGUGAUUGGCGGAGGUUUCGGGGUGCUCUUCGUUGAGUGACCCGGGGCGCCGUCAGGUUUACUUUGAAAAAAUUAGAGUGCUCAAAGCAGGCUUUUCACGCUUGAAUAUUCGUGCAUGGAAUAAUGGAAUAGGAACUCGUUUCUAUUUUGUUGGUUUUCGGAAAUCGAGUUAAUGAUUAAUAGGGACAAUUGGGGGCAGUAGUAUUCAGACGACAGAGGUGAAAUUCUUGGACCGUCUGAAGACUAACUACUGCGAAAGCAUUUGCCAAGAGUGUUUUCAUUAA